UCGGGAAUUUUGGGCAAUGGGGGAAACCCUGACCCAGCAACGCCGCGUGAAGGAUGAAGUAUUUCGGUAUGUAAACUUCGAAAGAAUAGGAAGAAUAAAUGACGGUACUAUUUAUAAGGUCCGGCUAACUACGUGCCAGCAGCCGCGGUAAUACGUAGGGACCAAGCGUUGUUCGGAUUUACUGGGCGUAAAGGGCGCGUAGGCGGCAUGACAAGUCACUUGUGAAAUCUCUGGGCUUAACCCAGAACGGCCAAGUGAUACUGUCGCGCUAGAGUGCAGAAGGGGCAAUCGGAAUUCUUGGUGUAGCGGUGAAAUGCGUAGAUAUCAAGAGGAACACCUGAGGUGAAGACGGGUUGCUGGGCGUGUAUUGACGCUGAGGUACGAAAGCGUGGGGAGCAAACAGGAUUAGAUACCCCUGUAGUCCCUGAGCGGGCUGGCAAGGCGCAU
rnacentral:rRNA from 1 species